rnacentral:tRNA from 1 species
GAAAAAUUAAUUUAUAAAAAAUAUUAAAUUGUCAAUUUAAAAAAGUAUUAACAUACAUUUUUCU